GUGGAUGAUCUAAUUGGAUAAAGGUAAAUAUGAAAGGAUCUGGACUCUGCAUAAUUUUUCGAGCUUUUAUUUUCCUCUUUAAAUAUAGCAGGGAUGCUACAAUUUAGAUUCAAACUUAGGGCUUUCUCGUGUGGGUAGCAGGGCCAACUAAGUGGGCCAAAUCCAAGUAAUAAGCUAUGAUGGAGAUGCUUCGUCCUUCAUUAAACUUUUAAGUAGUAUAGUUUUGUAAAAGCCAUGUGAACUUGUAUUUAGUUCCAUAUCGAUUAUUUGUCAGAAAGAUUUUGGGUGUUUAUAUAGGACUAAGAAAACCCACAAAAUACCUAGGUUAUUACAAAUGGUAUCAAAGACUCGGCCCGAUCUAUUUGAACAAGGAGACACUGCAGUAUAGACGCAUUGAGGCUGACAUGGGUCGGUCGUAGUAUUUUUGAUUAGAUUUAAAUAAAUUUGGACCUUUAGCCUGAUGAGGACGUCGGAGCUUAAAUGGGAAGAGUAUAUGAUGACCUAUGCGAGCAUGUAUUUAGUUCGACAUUGUUUAUUCAUCGAAAAAAUUUGGGGUACUUAUACGUGACUAAGAAACCCAAUAAAUAGCUUUUGGUUAGCUAUUUUGGAUGUAGUCCUAAAUUAUUACAGAGUUUGAUGGUGGAAGCUUGUCACCUAUGCUUAGGGUUAUGAGAUGGUGGGGACGAUGAAUAGUAUAACCUCAUCGUGGGGCUACUGGUUACGAACUUUGUUCAAAUAAUAUCAUCUCUUUGUUAGUGGGCGGUGACAAGACCCUUAUAAUAUCAAAAAGUCCCAGCAAAGGAGAAAAGAAUGCAAACCCUUUAGCAUAUCACAUAAUAAAAAAAAGUCCCCCUCACAAAUAGCACUAUAAACAUUAGCAAACCUUCUAACAUGAAAACUUUUCUAUACGAAAUAGGGUUACAACACUAAUAGACUAUAGCUCAAUUUGUUGGCUGGUUACAAAUUUGC
rnacentral:lncRNA from 1 species